rnacentral:rRNA from 1 species
AGUGAACGCUGGCGGUAGGCCUAACACAUGCAAGUCGAACGGCAGCACAGUAAGAGCUUGCUCUUACGGGUGGCGAGUGGCGGACGGGUGAGGAAUACAUCGGAAUCUACUUUUUCGUGGGGGAUAACGUAGGGAAACUUACGCUAAUACCGCAUACGACCUACGGGUGAAAGCAUGGGAUCUUCGGACCUUGCGCGAUUGAAUUAGCCGAUGUCGGAUUAGCUAGUUGGCGGGUUAAAGGCCCACCAAGGCGCCGAUCCGUAGCUGGUCUGAGAGGAUGAUCAGCCACACUGGAACUGAGACACGGUCCAGACUCCUACGGGAGGCAGCAGUGGGGGAUAUUGGACAAUGGGCGCAAGCCUGAUCCAGCCAUACCGCGUGGGUGAAGAAGGCCUUCGGGUUGUAAAGCCCUUUUGUUGGGAAAGAAAAGCAGCAGGUUAAUACCCCGCUGUUCUGACGGUACCCAAAGAAUAAGCACCGGCUAACUUCGUG